GGAAAUGCCUGUGGGGGUGCGACAUCUGUCACCCCAUUGACCGCCAGGGUUGAUUCAGCUGAUCUAGCUGGCUAGGCGGAUGUCCCCUCCCUCCCACACCACUCCAUGUGCGUCCCUCCCAAAGUUGUGUGCUCGGCGGAAGAAGACAAUUGUACCAUCCCUGGGCAUGACUUCCCACCAUCUUAUUAUUUACACUCUUCUUAAAUCACUUCUUACCACUGCCUAAGUGGUAAGAAAGAAGCUAAACCCUGCCUACAGGCUUAC